UACAGAGGUCUCAAGCGUUUGUUCGGAUUCAUUGGGCGUAAAGGGUGUGUAGGUGGCGCGCUAAGUCGGGGUGUGAAAUUUCGGAGCUUAACUCCGAAACUGCAUUCGAUACUGCCGUGCUUGAGGACUGGAGAGGAGACUGGAAUUUACGGUGUAGCGGUGAAAUGCGUAGAUAUCGUAAGGAAGACCAGUGGCGAAGGCGGGUCUCUGGACAGUUCCUGACGCUGAGGCACGAAGGUCAGGGGAGCAAACGGG
rnacentral:rRNA from 1 species